rnacentral:rRNA from 1 species
UACAGAGGGGGCAAGCGUUGUUCGGAAUUACUGGGCGUAAAGGGCGCGUAGGCGGCCUUCUAAGUCGAACGUGAAAUCCCCGGGCUCAACCCGGGAACUGCGUCCGAUACUGGAAGGCUUGAAUCCGGGAGAGGGAUGUGGAAUUCCAGGUGUAGCGGUGAAAUGCGUAGAUAUCUGGAGGAACACCGGUGGCGAAGGCGGCAUCCUGGACCAACACUGACGCUGAGUGAGCGAAAGCCAGGGGAGCAAACGGG